UAUAUAUAGGGGGGUGGUGAGGGCUGGUAGCCUGGUUGCUUUGGACAUGAGUCGGCCUUUGAUCUUGAUUGACGGUAUCGUGUGCAUGAAAUCGAAGUCCCUUGUGAGAUGCCCAACGAGUCGUGUCGUCGGCUUCGUUUUUCGAUGCCUCGUACGGCGAAAACGUCGUUGACGCGUUCUCGUUGAUCCUAGUCCGAAGCGUGGCUUGUUGCUCGCAGUUUUGUGAGAUUUGCUGUGCCUAGGACGUGGUGAUGCGGUGUGCGGAAAUGGCGGGGACCCUUUUCGGUGAAACUUGUGGCGUUGUGGGCCUCGCAACGCCAUUGUUGCGUGCUUGGUAGAUGAACCUAGAACGAAGCAUUACUCGUCACAAAGCCUGGCUAGUGACUUGUUUUGAGUAGUUCACGGUGACUCGGCUUAGCAUGACGAGGCACGUAGGAAUUGUUGUCCACGUGUAGAGGCAUCGUAUGCCUCCACGGGUAACUAAGACAACGUCAAGAUGGAGUUUUGCCUGUUGAUCCGAGUUCGAUGCAUGGCUUGUUUCCCAUAACGGUGUUGGGCUUGUCUUGCUGGACGUGUUGAUCCGGGCAUGCCGAAACUGACGGGGACCCUUUUCGAUGAAACUUGUGGCGUUGUAGGCCUCGCAACGCCAUUGAUGCGUGCUUGCUAGAUGAAUCUAGAACGAAGCAUUACUCGUCACACAAGCCCGGCUAGUGACUUGUUUUGAGUAGUUCAAGGUGACGCUGGUUAGCAUGACGAGGCAUGUCGGUAUCGUUGGUUGGUGUUCUCUCGCAUCGUUCGGUGCAUCCUGGGAGCUGUUCGGACUUUUGGUUGCUUUCAUGGCUCGAAUGCCUUGUGGGUGGCCAAUUGUUAGGCGGUUUUCGGGGAUGAUUACCGUAAAGGUGCAUGAGUGGUGUUUGGUUUGUUUCCGGUGGAUGGCUCUCUGCUUUUGCAACAACUUCCACCUGGCAUUCCUUUUCAUUUCUGCGUCAAGGUUGCAUUUCCUUGAGCGUUUAUGGUUUCCUGUGUUGCCUACCUACGUGACGGUAUUGUUUGAUUACAUCAAAGUCGUGUUUCAUCGUGUGUCAUCUGUAUGGCGUAGGAUGAACCUCGAAGCUGCUUCUAUGAUCCACCUUGGCGUUGCAUAUGCAUUGACGUUGUGGCUUGUUGAGUUUUGCUUGGUUUUCUGGAUGCAGAACAUGAUAUGGGUGUGGGUCUUACGCGAUCCUUGUUUUGCCCUUGUUGAACGUUGUUAUUACUCCGAGAUGACUGCUUACCCCGAAUUGGCUCGUACCACCGGGGUAGGUUGCGUUGUUGAAGAGCAAUACUGGCGUUCUUGCUUCUCUAAAACAGACAGCCUCGCCUUGAUGGGCUCGUACCAGCGGGUGGGCUAUGUCGAAGAGGGAUGC
rnacentral:misc_RNA from 1 species